rnacentral:rRNA from 1 species
UAGGGAAUCUUCGGCAAUGGACGAAAGUCUGACCGAGCGACGCCGCGUGAGUGAAGAAGGUUUUCGGAUCGUAAACUCUGUUGGUAGAGAAGAACGUUGGUGAGAGUGGAAAGCUCAUCAAGUGACGGUAACUACCCAGAAAGGGACGGCUAACUACGUGCCAG